rnacentral:sRNA from 2 species
AGGACAUGAUCAGGAAUCGAUCACAACAACACUUGUCUACUAAUGAGAAUGGAGUAUCAACUGUGUGAAUGCAUUGUUGGAAAAGAUUGUGCUCAGUGGAUCCUUAAAAAGGCCGAGGGAGGAAGGAUAUACUUACAUCUAUCCAAGAAAAUCAUAAUUACAACGUCACAGAGGAUUGCAAGGUUCUAAGGGUAGAAAAGGGGUUAAUAAACUCUAUUCAUGUCUGUCAAGUUUUAACUUUCUAACAUGUUCAACUACAACUUGGAUGCCAACGGCCGCCAUCAGUGAAGCUAGCUAAUAUCGCCUUUUAUGUAUAUGGUUCCAUCCGUCGAUUCCACGGAUCAUUCUUUAUCCCGACGUCCCGCGAAUCCAUGGUCAAUGAGGAUUUAUCCCAAAGAGCGGAAUUGUAGUGCCAACCCCCGGAAUCCUGCGUAGCUUUGUCGCAAAUUCGACAAGACAUCUAUGUAGGUAUUCAUGGAAGCCGAAGCCCAAAGUGCUGCCGGCAACGACACCAGAAGUAUGCAUUGCCAACGUGUGUGUUCGGAAACCUGGUCGAGUGAUGUGUCGGUACAGGGGAGAUGGCAGUAAGCGUCUUGGGUAUGAUGACAGUCUCACUUCCAGUUGGCUUGAAGAUAAACUACUUAUGAAAGCUACAUCAUACAAUCUCAAUAUCCUAACACGUUUUACUGGGCUUCUUUUUCAGUCUAACAGCCACCCUUUUUUCUAACUUUUUGUCAACGAAAUUACAUUAUUUAGUUGCAUUUCCCUUCCCGCUUGUUUUCAUUGCAGGAGCCUUUGGUUGCCUGUUUCUGGGCAUGACAUUUGACAUGAGUGUUGGUGUGGCAGUCCAGUGCAUCCUUGGAUGGUGCCGCUAUGAGCAGGAUUAUGCGCAAGCAGCGGAGUGGAAACUUCACGGUUGUUACUCCACAUGCAUGGUAUUUUCCAUGAAAUGUGAUAAAUGAUGGAUCGAGGAAAUUGUUUUCAGCUGAACUUGAUAUAUACUGGGCACUUACACAAAUUAUUGAAAACACCUAUAUAAUCAUGAAUGGCCUUUGCCAUACCUGAUAUGACUACUAGGAGCAAUUGCACUGUUAAAUAAAUAGUCAUUAGAUAUAUGUAUAUAGCAGGAGCUUCAUGAAACAUGUAGCUGAGUGCCAGACGGAGCAAUAAGCUCAGAAAAGCCA